rnacentral:rRNA from 1 species
CAGCCGUAAACUAUGCGCGUUAGGUGUAUCGGUGACCACGAGUUACCGAGGUGCCGAAGGGAAACCGUGAAACGUGCCGCCUGGGAAGUACGGUCGCAAGGCUGAACUUAAAGGAAUUGGCGGGGGAGCACCACAACGGGUGGAGCCUGCGGUUUAAUUGGACUCAACGCCGGGAAGCUCACCGGAUAAGACAGCGGAAUGAUUGCCGGGCUGAAGACUCUGCAUGACUAGCUGAGAGGAGGUGCAUGGCGUAGACGUCU